rnacentral:rRNA from 1 species
AAGGUGGCCUCAGAGGAGUUUGGAGUGUCCAGGGGAAGGAGAAGCGAAGAUAAGGAUACCUGGUGGUGGAAUGAUGAUGUCCAUAAGGCGAUUAAAGAGAAGAAAGAUUGCUUCAGACGCCUAUACCUGGAUAGGACUGCAGACAACAUAGAGAAGUACAAGAUGGCGAAGAAGGCCGCAAAGCGAGCUGUUGGUGAAGCAAGGGGUCGGGCAUAUGAGGACCUCUACCAACGGUUAGGCACGAAGGAAGGCGAAAGGGACAGCUAUAAGAUGGCCAAGAUCCGAGAGAGGAAGACGAGGGAUAUUGGCCAAGUCAAA